GGAACUGAUGAUUCCGCAAUAGUCGUUGACCCUAGUGUAGGGCGUCCUCACUCGGAGAGGAUUCGAUUGGGUUAUUGACUCUAGUUGUAGAGCCUCCUCACUUGGAGAGGAUUGGAUUGGGUGUAGACCCUAGUUACAGUGUGUCCUCACAUAGAGAGGAUGGAUCUAGCUCACAGUCUGCGUUUAGGGUGGCAUAGCCAUCCAAUCCCCACAUGGAGGGGAUUGUCGUCGAGUACUCCGGAGUGUCGCGCGACUAGGACCACUUGGAGGUCCGGACCACAUGGAGGUCCGCAGACGGUCCCGGGCUUGGGUGCACUUGGAGCUCCCUCCCCACUUUGGGAUUUGAAGGUGAGUCAUGGGCGAGCCCUAGGGCCUCGCCACAGAUUGGGUAAAUGGAAAGGUUAUUAAUGUCAUUGAACAUUGCUAUUCGAACAUGGAUCGAAUUUGUUAGCAUGAUAGCAAACCUUUA
rnacentral:lncRNA from 1 species